rnacentral:lncRNA from 1 species
AUGGGAUCACCUGUUAGUGCAGUCAUAGCUGAGAUAGUAAUGCAAGAGAUAGAGUCAAUUGCCAUCAACACGUCACCUGUCCCAAUACGCUGGUGGCGAAGGUAUGUUGACGACUCCAAUUCAUGUCUACGCAAAAGUGACAUUGAACAAUUCCACACCCACCUGAACACUAUCAACAAAAACAUUCAGUUUACAAUUGAAUUGCCAUCAGAAUCAAACCACGGUGAAGCAAUUUCUUUCCUUGAUACCCUCAUUACCAUUCUUAAAAACCGUACCAUUGAAGUAAGUGUAUACCGUAAGGAUACACAUACCAAUAAAUAUCUAUCCUUUCACUCUCAUAAUCCCACCCAAAGUAAGCGAGCCGUAGUUAAGACCUUACUUGAUCGAGCCGACAGCAUUCCUUCUACUGACAAUAAAAAACAGCAAGAAAAGGAGUGUGUUGUCCAAGAAUUAAAGCUCAACGGAUAUCCAGAGAAAUUCAUCUUCCAGACAAGUUCCAGCAGGUCGUUUUCCAACACUAAUGACGAACCGGAAAUUAAAGGGUUAUCUUGUAUUCCAUACAUGAAAGGCAUAUCAGAACAGAUAAAACAGCUGCUUAAAAGUGCUGGUAUUAAGACAAUAUAUAAACCCAUGCCAAGCUUAGGGGACAUUUUUGGUAAACCAAAAGACAAGCAGAAGAUCACGGAGAUUAAAGGCAUUGUUUAUAAAUUCGAAUGUCCAGAUUGCUCAUUUAAGUAUGUUGGAGAAAGUAAGAGGUCGUGGAAAUCACGUUGGGCAGAACACAAACCAGGCGUAAGACGGGAGAUUAAGUCAGCAAUCAAAGACCACGCAGAAAGCACAGGACACAAUGCCUCUAUUAACAAUGCUACAAUCUUAGAGAAAAGAGUACAUAAUUUAGAAAAACGAACGUUCCUCGAGUCGAUGCAUUCAAUAUUAGAC